rnacentral:pre_miRNA from 1 species
UUUAAAUAUAGUAGUGAAUUUUUAUAUCCAAUGUUUAAACGUUCGUUUUAUUUAAAAUUUUUUAUAGUUCGUACAUUAUUAUUAUUAUUAUUAUUAUUAGAUGAUAAAAUAUGACUACUAUUUUAUGUAUGCCUUAUUUUUAAAAGUUUCAUAAUUUUUUAAAUAAGAUGGACAAUUAAAUAUUGAUCACGGAAACCCGUGUAACUACACUUAAA